UGGGGAAUAUUGCACAAUGGAGGGAACUCUGAUGCAGCGACGCCGCGUGAACGAAGAAGGCUUUCGAGUCGUAAAGUUCUUUUAUAUGGGAAGAUAAUGACGGUACCAUAAGAAAAAGCCCCGGCUAACUACGUGCCAGCAGCCGCGGUAAUACGUAGGGGGCUAGCGUUGUCCGGAAUCACUGGGCGUAAAGGGUUCGCAGGCGGAAAUGCAAGUCAGGUGUAAAAGGCAGUAGCUUAACUACUGUAAGCAUUUGAAACUGCAUAUCUUGAGAAGAGUAGAGGUAAGUGGAAUUUUUAGUGUAGCGGUGAAAUGCGUAGAUACUAAAAAGAAUACCGGUGGCGAAGGCGGCUUACUGGGCUCAUUCUGACGCUGAGGAACGAAAGCGUGGGUAGCAAACAGG
rnacentral:rRNA from 1 species